rnacentral:rRNA from 1 species
GACGAACGCUGGCGGCGGGCUUAACACAUGCAAGUCGAACGGAAAGGCCCUGCUUGUUUGGGGUGCUCGAUGGGGGAAGGGGUGAGGAACACUAGAGUAACCGGCCCUUGACUUUGGGAUAACUUCAGGAAACUGGGGCUAAUACCGGAUAGGAGCUCCUGCUGCAUGGGGGGGGUUGGAAAGUGUCGGCGGUUUGGGCUGGGCGCGCGGCUUAUCAGCUUGUUGGUGGGGGAGGGGCUUACCAAGGCUUUGACGGGUAGCCGGCCUGAGAGGGUAACCGGCCACAUUGGGACUGCGAUCCGGACGAGGCUCCUAGGGGAGGCAGCAGUGGGGAAUAUUGCACAAUGGGCGGAAGCCUGAUGCAGCAACGCCGCGUGCGGGAUGACGGCCUUCGGGUUGUAAACCGCUUUCGCCUGUCACGAAGCGUGAGUGACGGUAAUGGGUAAAGAAGCACCGGCUAACUACGU